AAUAGGUUGACUCAAUCUUAAACAAUUCCCCCAUCACAGGAAGCCCACUGCACCCACAGCUGCAGAAAGCAUCCCUUAAACCAUCCCCAACUACCUACAGCAACACAAAGUUAAACCAAUUUCCACUGACAAAAGGCUAUGUGUGCAUUUAUUCUAAUCAGCCCCAGGAUUUAUUGUGUGAAACUCAGGCGAUAAAAAGUCACCUCCUCAAGCUACAAAACUUUUUUUUCAUCCCAAAUAUUCUCAAUGAAAGUUCUCUUGUCAACCAGGAGAGAGUCAAAAACAACCACAAACACUAGCAGAAUGAUCCGCUCCAGGACCACAUCCCAGCUGGCUUUGCUCUGUUGUCGGUGGCUCUGAAGCAGUUUCUCACUUUCCUUUCACCCUUCUCCCCUUUACUCCCCAACAUUCUCACUCGAGAAUGCAUCACAUCCUCAGACCGCUGGCAAAAAAAAAAGGGGGGGGGGAAGAGACUGCAAUUAUCAAGGAAGGGGAAGAUAUUUCAGAACCACGGUUUCCACUGCAAACGGCAAUAAAAAAAAAAGGCAGUCUGUGUCAUCAGGAUAUGGGGGACGACGUUGUAGGGCAUCACAAAGAUGUGCAGUGAGUGUGCACUUGAAGCUCUCGGGGCAGGAUGAGACGAUGGAGCAGAAAAGACAAGGUCUGACUCUGUGCAGUGGAGUGCAGUGGCUCAAUCAUAGCUCACUCCAGCCUCAGACUCCUGGGCCGAAGUGAUCCUCCCACCUCAAGCUCCUGAAUAGCUGGGACUACAGCUGGGCAUGGUGGCAUGUGCCUGUGGUUCCAGUUACUUGGGAAGCUGAAGUGGGAGGAUCGCUUGAGCCCAGGAGGUCAAGGCUACAGUGAGCUGUGAUGGUGUCAUUGCAUUCCAGCACUCCAGCCCGGGCAUCAGAGUUAGACCUUGUCUUAAAAAAUAAAUAAAUGAAUAAAUAUAAAUAAAAAAUAAAAAGCUUUUACAG
rnacentral:lncRNA from 10 species